rnacentral:rRNA from 1 species
AUCUAGAGAGAGAAGUAGUGCCCGUACCGCAAACCGACACAGGUAGAUGAGGAGAGAAUCCUAAGGCCGGCGGAAGAAUUGCAGUUAAGGAACUAGGCAAAUUGACCCCGUAAGUUCGCGAGAAGGGGUGCCUGCGAGAGCAGGCCGCAGAGAAUAGGCCCAAGCAACUGUUUAGCAAAAACACAGGUCUCUGCUAAAGCGUAAGCUGAUGUAUAGGGGCUGACGCCUGCCCGGUGCUGGAAGGUUAAGGGGAACACUUAGCGCAAGCGAAGGUGUGAACUUAAGCCCCAGUAAACGGCGGCCGUAACUAUAACGGUCCUAAGGUAGCGAAAUUCCUUGUCAGGUAAGUUCUGACCCGCGCGAAUGGCGUAAUGACUUGGGCACUGUCUCAACUGCAAAUCCGGCGAAGUUGUAGUGCGAGUGAAGAUGCUCGCUACCCGCGAUUGGACGGAAAGACCCCGUAGAGCUUUACUGUAGCUUAGCAUUGAAUUCCGGUAUUGUCUGUACAGGAUAGGUGGGAGACUGGGAAACUAGGGCGUCAGCCUUAGUGGAGUCAACCUUGGGAUACCACCCUGACAGUACUGGGGUUCUAACAGGACGCCAUGAAGCUGGUGACUGGACAUUGUUAGGUGGGCAGUUUGACUGGGGCGGUCGCCUCCUAAAAAGUGACGGAGGCGCCCAAAGGUUCCCUCAGAACGGUCGGAAAUCGUUCGUAGAGUGCAAAGGCAGAAGGGAGCCUGACUGCGAGACCUACAAGUCGAGCAGGGACGAAAGUCGGGCUUAGUGAUCCGGUGGUACCUCGUGGGAGGGCCAUCGCUCAACGGAUAAAAGCUACCCCGGGAUAACAGGCUGAUCUCCCCCAAGAGUCCACAUCGACGGGGAGGUUUGGCACCUCGAUGUCGGCUCGUCGCAUCCUGGGGCUGUAGUAGGUCCCAAGGGUUGGGCUGUUCGCCCAUUAAAGCGGCACGCGAGCUGGGUUCAGAACGUCGUGAGACAGUUCGGUCCCUAUCCGUCGCGGGCGUAGGAAAUUUGAGAGGAGCUGUCCUUAGUACGAGAGGACCGGGAUGGACUGACCUCUGGUGCACCAGUUGUUCUGCCAAGAGCAUGGCUGGGUAGCUAAGUCGGGAAGGGAUAAACGCUGAAAGCAUCUAAGCGUGAAGCCCCCCUCAAGGUGAGAUUUCCCAUAGCAUAAGCUAGUAAGACCCCUUGAAGAACACAAGGUUGAUAGGUCAGAGGUGGAAGUGCGGUAACGUAUGUAGCUGACUGAUACUAAUAGGUCGAGGGCUUGACCU